GACGAACGCUGGCGGCGUGCUUAACACAUGCAAGUCGAACGGAAAGGCCCUGCUUUUGUGGGGUGCUCGAGUGGCGAACGGGUGAGUAACACGUGAGUAACCUGCCCUUGACUUUGGGAUAACUUCAGGAAACUGCGGCUAAUACCGGAUAGGAUCUCCUGCUCCAUGGGGGGGGUUGGAAAGUUUCGGCGGUUGGGGAUGGACUAGCGGCUUAUCAGCUUGUUGGUGGGGUAGUGGCUUACCAAGCCUUUGACGGGUAGCCGGCCUGGGAGGGUGGCCGGCCACAUGGGGCCUGCGAGACGGACCAGACGCCUACGGGAGGCAGCAGGGGGGAACAUUGCGCAAUGGGCGGAAGCCUGAUGCAGAAACGCCGCGUGCGGGAUGACCGGCUUCGGGGUGUAAACCGCUUUCGACGGUGACGAAGCGGGAGUGACGGUAAUGGGUAAAGAAGCACCGGCUAACUACGUG
rnacentral:rRNA from 1 species